AUUGAACGCUGGCGGCAGGCCUAACACAUGCAAGUCGAACGGUAACAGGAAACAGCUUGCUGUUUCGCUGACGAGUGGCGGACGGGUGAGUAAUGUCUGGGAAACUGCCUGAUGGAGGGGGAUAACUACUGGAAACGGUAGCUAAUACCGCAUAACGUCGCAAGACCAAAGAGGGGGACCCUCGGGCCUCUUGCCAUCGGAUGUGCCCAGAUGGGAUUAGCUUGUUGGUGGGGUAACGGCUCACCAAGGCGACGAUCCCUAGCUGGUCUGAGAGGAUGACCAGCCACACUGGAACUGAGACACGGUCCAGACUCCUACGGGAGGCAGCAGUGGGGAAUAUUGCACAAUGGGCGCAAGCCUGAUGCAGCCAUGCCACGUGUAUGAAGAAGGCCUUCGGGUUGUAAAGUACUUUCAGCGGGGAGGAAGGGAGUAAAGUUAAUACCUUUGCUCAUUGACGUUACCCGCAGAAGAAGCACCGGCUAACUCCGUG
rnacentral:rRNA from 1 species